AUCUGAAGUCCACUUCAGAGUUGUAAGCUGAAGAGGUGUCGACCGACUUGGUCCGGGCCCAACUUCCUUGGAACAGGAGGUCAUGGAGGGUGAGAACCCCGUCUGUGGCUCGGGUGCCGUAGUCCUUGUGUCGUGCCCUCGAAGAGUCGGGUUGUUUGGGAAUGCAGCUCAAAAUGGGUGGUAAAUUUCAUCUAAGGCUAAAUAUUGGCGAGAGACCGAUAGCAAACAAGUAGAGUGAUCGAAAGAUGAAAAGUACUUUGAAAAGAGAGUGAAACAGUACGUGAAAUUGUUGAAAGGGAAGCGUUUGGCAUCAG
rnacentral:rRNA from 1 species